GUGAGGGGGGAUGGGCGGGAGCCGGGAGCCGUGGGAAAGCAUUCUCCUGAGCUGGGGGCUCAGAGUGGCUCUGAGCUCCUUCUCAAACCUCUGCCCCUGAACCUUCAGGGCAUCCGUCUGCUACUCUGCAGAAUUCAUACAUCAAAGAUCUUUGGGGUGACUUCCUGGUGACAGGGACUUUCUUAGGUCUUGGGCACACAGUGGGUAACAGAGUCCUGCUCUCUUGGAACUUACAUUCCAGUGAAGAGAAAACAGGCAUGAUACCGCUGGCCCUGCUGACCUAGAAGCCCUAAGCCCUCAUUUCACAGAGAAGGAAACCUCGAGGGGAACGGACUUUCCCGGGGUCACACAGCAAGUCCCUGAACUCAGGCGGCCCAGGGGCUCCCCAGGCAGGGCUCUGGUUAGCCCAGGCUGCUGGAAGGAGUUAAAGUGGGUGAAAACGUCUGUGUUGGGUUGUUAAUCUCGUAAUUGGAGGAAAGAGGGAGGUUUGAAAGCGCUGGCAUCCUCCUUCAGCCAGCAGCCGGACAAGGGGCUGUUGGCCCCAGAGUCUAGGGUCCCUGCCCCCUCCCACCACUGACAGCGUGGACCAGAGCGGGCUGAGAGGUGACGGAGGGCUUGGGGGAGGGGACUGCCCUCUGCUAGGAGGCCGGUCUCCCGGGGCUGCCUCCCCCAGCAGGGGCUGAGCCUGGGUCUCUUUGAGGCCCUGGCAGGGACGUCACAGGCCACUUCCUGAGCCGCCUCCGUGACAGCCCUGCUGAUCUCUGAGGCUCUGUUCCAUGUAGUGACCAUUAGCGGCAGUUUUUCCUGCUGUUGCAUUUUUACAGCCCACCACUCCUCCGGAUAGCAUUUUCCCCGUUAAAGCAGAUGUUUUGCAAAAAAAAAAAAGGAAUCAUAAUCAUAACCAUAAGUCAUAAGUCACGUUACUAUAAGCAGAUGGCUUCCCAGCUUCCCAGGGUGUCCGAAUGGGAGGCCGUGUGUGGGAAAGCUUGCUAUAAUGAGGCAACGGGGGAGGCCAGGUCUGCCGGGGGGUGUCCUCCACCAGCCCGAUAUUUCACACAGUGCGUCUGGAUGACUCCUGCCUCUGGGAGAGGCUGUGCGUUUAUGGGGAGGCCGGGGGACAUGGGGGAGGCCCCCCAGGGAAAAGUGAAUCACGAGAGAGGGAUGUGGGUUGCCCCAAAUCCUGCCUGAUGAUUCUCUGAAGAGGGGGAGGGCGGUCCAGGAUCCCCCCAGCUGGGCUUCCAGGGGGUUCGGAGUCCUUGUCCGGGCUGCCGCCACCGGCCUGUGUGUUCCCAUGACCCAUCACGCUUGCUAGGAGGCAGAAUCCUUUACGGAUGAGAGAACUCACAUGGGCACGCACGGGGCUCCCAGGCUCUGCCAGCGGCGCCUCUGUGAUCCAGCCAGCUCUCCUCUGAGCGCAAAUAAAUCAACAACAGAAAGACUGCGGGAAACUCAAAGGGGAAAACUGAAAAGAAAGCUGUAAAUAAACAUAAAAUAUAAAGUGCUCGAGACUUGGGAGAAGGUUUGGGCUCUGAGGACGGGGAGGAAAGGGACAGUCAAAUGUUUACGAGCAAGUGGCAGAUCUUAAAACUCAGGCAUAAGGGAGAGGAAAUGAGCACAGAGAGGUUCAGGGGCUUGCCUCAGGCCGCACAGCAGCCCAGAUCCAAAGGCUUCUCAUUCCUGCAGGCGGGGGACCGUUCAUCCUAGUGGCUGGAUUGGCAAGAUGUAUUGAGCACUGCCGACCUCGGGCCUGGGGACGUGGAGGGUGAGGAGACACUCCUGCCCUCAAGAGUCCAGGGGACAGCAAGAGAGAGCAGCACAGGGCAGAACAGAAGCCACCUGAGGACAACGGUGUGUCUUAUUCUCUGCGCUGGCUCCCAUCCUUGGGGGCCUCAUCAGUGCCUGUCGAAUGGAUGGAAGCUUCUGAGCGCUUGCUCCUUGCCGGCCUUGUGUCCAGUAUUGGACAUUCAAAGUGGAACGGGACCCACUGAAGAGCCCAAAUAGAAACCAGAGGGAUGUGCACCUUCCUGCCCUUCUCUCAUGCGGGACGUAUGGUGGAGGUUCGGUGAAAAGUACUGAAUGUGAACUGACAACAGGAGAUGUUAACUGUUUCUAGAAGGGAAACCAGUGGUCCUGGAUUCAAAAGCGACCUCCUGGCAUCUUAUUCUCUUCUGUCGUAUCUAUUGGCGGGUCUUUGUGGUAGCUGGGGGAAGCUAAGCUGCUGUAACAAAGAGACUCUCUGCCAUCCAUCUCCCCCCAACAUCCCGUACCAUAAAGGACAAAGAAAUUUCCGUGUCUGUUUUGUAGUCGCUUUGGGUGCAUGGAUCUCCUCACUUGGUCGCUUGGAGACUCAGACCGAUCCCCUCUGUCAUGUUUCUCCACCAGUCCUGGGGCGUUGUAAACACCUUCCUGGACGAAGCUGGGUUUCAGCCCUGUGCUGGGUGUAGACAGCGGGGAGGGAAAAGAGGUCAAGGAGGAGGUGAGGCGUGGUCUGAAAGGCUCCGUGUCAGAUGGACCACACUUCACUUCUGCUGCCAUCCCGCUGGCGAGAACGUGACUUAACCGCAAAGAAGGCCGGGAAGUAUAGUCUGGCUGAGCCGCUAGGCGCCCACCUUCAAUUCUACAGCUCGAGAGGGAGCUAGAAUGGAUCUGGUGGACAACGAGCCAAGGCAGCUGCUGCCGCAGGCUCCUGUUCCCCAGGAGACAGAUGGCUGGAGGCUGGCUGGUGGGUGACUCCAGGUCCCUCGGGCUUUCCUCACCCAGGGAGUAGAGCCGUGAGCUCUGCCUCUGCCCCCAGCUGCCAGGGAGAGGCUGUGGGGGUCCCCUGACCUCAGCCCGCCCCUUUCUCUGAACGAUGCUCUCGGUGGUCGGGCCUCUCCUCAGCCCGUCUCCUGUCUUCAAUUCCUGGCUGUGAUGACUCCCAGCCAGACCUGGUCCUCGGUCCUGCUGCUCAGUGGAAACCUCGGUCAGCAAGUGAGCAUCAGGCUCCAGGUUCCAAUGGCGCUGAGGGACGAUGUGACUGGAGAAACUGCUCAAAGUGCUGGAGACACGGGAAUGAGUCAUUAAUUACAAAUCACUAUUAUCCGCAGGUUAACAGAGGCCCCUGCUACGGGCUGAAUGUUCGUGUUCCCCAAAAUUCCUGUGUUGAAUCCUAACAGCGCUGUGACGGCGUGAGGAGGGGGGGCCCUUCAGGAGGAGGCAGGGCUCCUGUGAAUGGGAUUAGCGCCCAUCUAAAUAAGGCCCACGAGAGCUCCCUGGGCCCCUCCCCACGUGUGGUUAAAGCUAGAAGCUUCGAUGCAAACCAGGAAAAGAGCCGCCCCAGACGCCGGAACUCGCCAGCGCCCCAGGCUCAGGCCUCCCAGCUUCCGGGGCCGUGAGACGUGAACCGCGGUCUGUAAGCCCCCAUUCUGCGCUGUUCUGUCACAGCAGCCGGGAGGCACGGACAGCCCCCACCGCCUCUUCCUGCCGAUACUGUCCUAGCCCAGCGGGGUUACUGUACGUACCUGGAAGAAUAAAACAGCAUUUCAGAGUUCAGGAAUAUAAACCCAAAUUGGACUUUUGUACAAAUAGUAUAAAACCUCCUUCAUAUUAAAAUUAAUAAUAGCUAAUAUUUAUUGAGCACUCACUCAAUCCUUACCGCCCCGGGUGAAUAUUAUUUAUGAGCCCCGUUUUCAGACAAGGAGGCUGAGAUCUAGAGAGGUCAGGUAACCUGACUGAGGCCACAUGGGGAGUCCAGAGCAAAGCUGGGGUUUGAGCCCAGCUCGUGGAGCCUGACCCCCGAGGUUCUUAGGAGGCUGCUCGCCCGGGCAUCAUGGGAAUAACUUUUCCUGCACACCGGCAGUGCCCGGCGGCCCCACCGAGAGGCCAUCAGAUGCGCCUCCCCUCCGGCUCUCUCCCUGCCCCCUGCCUCAUCGCUCUCCCGUCCUCUUACUGGUCCAGGGCCGAAGCCGUCUUCCUCUUCCUCGAGCAGCCCCCGAUCUUUCUCAAAUGUUAGCAAAGCUGAUCAUGUCACCUUCUGCCUGGAAACCUUUCCUGUUCCUGUCACCUGCAGAGAACAGCUGCCCCUGGCAUCUGAGGCCCUGCACGACCUGGCUUUGCUCCCCAUCCAGGCUUUCGCCCAUCACCUCCUCUGCCACCCCACCCCCCACCCCAGCGCAACGGGUGCUCCCUCAGCUGCAAAUGAAAAGGGAGGGGGCAGAGGGAGGGCCUGCGAACAAACAAACUUGGAAAAGUCCGUAUUCUCUACGCUUUCUUGGAAAUUAACCCAGUCCUCCCAUUUUCAUUUGACCAUAGAGGAACUAGCAGCCACGUUAACGUCCUGCAGAGCAGCCACUUCGAAG